rnacentral:lncRNA from 1 species
AAAAGGCGGGGAGGUCAGAAAAGGGUCAGAGGGUUCACUGGCCUGAAGACCCCUUUGAAGUAGUUGUAUCCUAACUGUGACCCCAGCUCAGAGCUGGGGAAUGCUAAGGUGGGAUCCCUGCCCACCCUUCUGGAAGAGAGGCCGUAAGCUUCACUGCUGAAGAAAAGAGGAGGCUGUCUGGACUCCAGAAAGUGGGCCUCACCUGGCCAAGGAAGCUAAAGAGCAGAGGCAGAGGGCAGAGGCCCUGGACUCAGAGCAGAGGCUGGGGUAUCAUACAAGGUCAAGGUCCCUGCAGCAAGGCAGGGUCAGGGAUGGGGUCUGAGGUGUUGAGGCCUUGAGUUAGAAAAGACUCAUUAUUAUGUGCUCAUUCAUUCAUUUCAACAUUCCAUGUGUAUUUAUUAAACUGUUACUGUUUGCCAGCCGUGGUGCUAGGUGCAGGAUGAGCCAAACAGACUUGAUUCCUGAAGCCUUGAAGCAGAAGCAAGUCUAGGAGGGGAAGUAGACACAAAUCAAAUAAUUGUGCACAUCCAUGUGUGACGAUAAACUAUGCUGAGAGCCAUGCAAGAAAGGAGCACAGGGCUUUGAUAGCCCGGGACAGAGGAACUGGACCCAGUCUGAGAGGGACACCUAUAUCCGCAUCCCAUUGCCAAGUUCCUCAGCAAAUGUCAAGGUGUUGAGGGAGAAUCAUCGACAUUUCAGAGUUGGAAGUACAACCCCCCUUAUUCCACAGAGACAAAGUAACUGAGGCCCUGCGAGGAGAGAAGGCCUGUGAAGGACAAUGAUACUCACUGCUGUGGUGGAAGCCAGGCAGGCCCCUUCUGACCCCUGCUGUGCUCCAGCCGGCACACCCGACUUCCCUCUGAGGAAUCUGGGCGUCCCUCAGUGGACGCAGUAAAAAGCUUCUCCAAGUCGACGUAGAACCUGGACCAGCACAGGCAAAGGCACCGCCAACCAUUCUGAAAGUUCUGACAUAACUCCCAGGCCUCAGGCUGCCAAGGCAAGUUUUCUGUCUUCAGAUGAAUAAGCUGCUGUCUCCACUGUUGUGGAGGAUGAUACUCACACUUAAGGGGCCAUAUUUCUACCCUGUUGAUUAGAGGACAGGGAAGGGGAGCUGAGAGAUAAACACAACUAAGCAAUGCAACACCCUCUUUCCCUCCCCUUUCCCUCCAGUAACCCUGCUGGUUGUGGCUGCGGCUAUAAGAGUAUUGGCUGUGACUUUCACUGAUGCCCUUAGGGACACCUGCUGAUAUGAGAGUCUGAAGCUCUGUGGUCAGACAGGCUUGGGUUCCAAACCAGGUCCUGACACACAAGAGCCUCAGCUGCCCCAUCUAUAAAGUGGGAAUAAUAGCCCUGCCAUCUGCUUCUCAGAGUUGUUGGGAGAAUCAACCAGAGUUGCAAUAAACACAAAGCAAGUGGUACUGUGUCUGGCAAAGUGGGAAAAUUUAAUGAAUUAAGGCAGGUAGAAGACCUAGCACUGGUCCUGGCACAUCUGGGGAGUUCAUUAAUUGUGAGUUCCUCCUUCCUCUCCUUUCCCAGGCUGGACCCUGAACCUCGGUAAUCAGGAAAAGAACCUGGGGGCCUUCUGUCUCCCCCACACCCCUUUUUAACAUUUUGAAACAGAAUAUAACAUAAAAUUAACCAUUUUAAAGCAUAAGUUGAGUGGCAUUUAAUGCCUUCACAAUAUUGUGCAACCACCAUCUAUAUCAAGUUCCAAACAUUUUUUGUCGCCUCAAAAGGAAACCCUUUGCUCCUUAGCAGUCACUCCUAUUCCUCCACACCACCCCCAAGACCCUGGCAAUAACCGGUCUGCUUUUUGUUUCUGUGGAUUUACCUAUUCUGGAUAUUUCAUAUAAAUAGAAUCUUACCAUAUGUGACCAUUUGUGUCUGGCUUCUUCACUUGGCAUAAUGUUUUCAAGGUUCACCCCCCUUGUAGCACGUAUCUGUAUUUCAUUCCUUCUGAUGACCGAAUAAUAUUCCAUUGUAUGGAUAUGCCACAUUCUGUUUGUCUGUUCAAACACUGAUGGACAUUUUGGUUGUUCCCAUCUCUCAUUAUUGCAAAUAGUGCUGCUAUAAACAUUUAUGUAC